rnacentral:rRNA from 1 species
UACGUAGGUGGCAAGCGUUGUCCGGAAUUAUUGGGCGUAAAGCGCGCGCAGGCGGCCUCCUAAGUCCGAUGUGAAAGCCCACGGCUCAACCGUGGAGGGUCAUUGGAAACUGGGGGACUUGAGUGCAGGAGAGAAGAGUGGAAUUCCACGUGUAGCGGUGAAAUGCGUAGAGAUGUGGAGGAACACCAGUGGCGAAGGCGGGUCUCUGGACAGUUCCUGACACUGAGACACGAAGGCCAGGGAGCAAACGGG